rnacentral:rRNA from 1 species
CUGGAUAUACCGUAGUAAUUCUAGAGCUAAUACCUGCGCUAAACCCCUGUNAAGGGUGUAUUUAUUAGANACUAACCAACACUUUGGGUGAAUCAUAAUAACUGANNGAAUCGCUCUUGCANCGAUGUUUCNUUCAAGUUUCUGCCCUAUCAGCUUUCGAUGGNNUGGUAUUGGCCUACCAUGGNUUUAACGGGUAACGGACAAUUACGGUUCGAUUCCGGAAAGGGAGCCUGAGAANCGGNUACCACAUCCAAGGAAGGCAGCAGGCGCGUAAAUUACCCAAUCCUNACACNGGGAGGUAGUGACAAGAAAUAACGAUACGGANNCNAAAGGGUUUCGUAAUUGGAAUGAGUACAAUUUAAACCCCUUAACGAAAGCCAUU